GUCUCAAAAUAGUUUAUUCAUAUGCAUCUGCUAAUUAGUGAUUAGGAUUAUUUUCUUCUUUUAAUUACCAUUUAUAAAAAAUACAAAUAACAUCCAUUUACAUUUAUUAAAAAAAGAAAGCCAAAAAAAAGGGAGAUAAUCAAAUAUACAUUCUUCAAUAUUAUACUCUUUUGAAAAGGUUGCUCACAGGUCUCACCCUAUUUAAUUUGACAGUAAAUUGUUUAAAUAUUUGUCUGUAUUUUCAAAACAUUUUUCAAGGUCAUGUUAUGAGUUCGAAUAUCAAAGCUAGAUAUUUUUUUUGAGAUGUACUCAUGUUUCAUCAACUGAAACUUGGUCUGUGGUGUCAAAAUGAGGGGUUUUAGGACAUUUUUUAGAAAAUGAAUAUUUAUUCCACAGGAAUUUGGUAUUUAUCAAUCAAAAUUUUUUUUCUUUCUAUUAAACAUAUCAGGAUUCAGAAAAAAAAGAACCUGAUAUUUGAUUUCUUUUGAUAUAUUUUUAGUCUUAUUUUUUCUUUCUGGUCAAGGGAGAUAGCUCCUUUCAUCCUCCUACUUGGAACCAAAAAAUUGUGUGUAUAAGUUUAUCUUAUUUUUGUAAGAAUAACAAACAUUCAAAGAAUUAAAAAAAAACUCAGUCAUUUUUUAUGAUAGUAUUUGUAGUCCAUUUUGGUUAGAAACAAAGAGCUUGUUUUAGUCCUGUUUAUUCUGUAACCGUCCUUUCAGCCAAAAUUAAUGUGAUAGUUUAUACAAUAAAAAAUCUUAUCUGCA
rnacentral:lncRNA from 1 species